GUCUUUUUGAUUUUUAUUUAAAGUUUAACCUGCCCAUUGAAAAUUUUAAAAGGCUGCGGUAUUUUGACCGUACAAAGGUAGCAUAGUCAUUAGUUUUUUAAUUGAAAACUUGUAUGAAUGGUUGAAUGAAAAAUUAACUUUUUUUUUAGAAAUAUUGAAUUUUACUUUUUAAUUAAAAGGUUAAAAUUUAUUUAAAAGACGAGAAGACCCUAUAGAGUUUUAUAAUUAUGGUUAUGUUUUUUAUAAGGGUUAUUUAAAAUUUUAUAAUUUAUAUUAUUUUGUUGGGGUGAUAGUAAAAUUUAAUUAACUUUUAUUUGUAGAUUUCAUUAAUAUAUGUAUAUUUGAUCCAGUAUUAUUGAUUAAAAAAUUAAAUUACCUUAGGGAUAACAGCGUAAUUUUUUUUUAAGUUCUUAUUAAUAAAAAAUUUUGCGACCUCGAUGUUGGAUUAAGAGUUAAUUUUAGGUGCAGCAGUUUAAAGUUUAAGUCUGUUCGACUUUUAAAUUCUU
rnacentral:rRNA from 1 species